rnacentral:ncRNA from 1 species
GAGUGGAGCCUGCGGCUUAAUUUGACUCAACACGGGGAACCUCACCCGGCCCGGACACGGAAAGGAUUGACAGAUUGACGGCUCUUUCUCGAUUCUGUGGGUGGUGGUGCAUGGCCGUUCGUAGUUGGUGGAGCGAUUUGUCUGGUUGAUUCCGAUAACGAACGAGACUCUGGCAUGCUAACUAGUUACGCGGCCCCGCGCGGUCGGCGUCUGCAACUUCUUAGAGGGACAAGUGGCGUUCAGCCACGCGAGACUGAGCAAUAACAGGUCUGUGAUGCCCUUAGAUGUCCGGGGCUGCACGCGCGCCACAAUGGGCGGAUCAACGUGUGCCUACCCUGCGCCGACAGGCGCGGGUAACCCGUUGAACCCCGCCCGUGAUGGGGACCGGGGAUUGAAACUAUUUCCCGAGAACGAGGAAUUC